rnacentral:rRNA from 1 species
ACACAUGCAAGUCGAGCAGAGAUGAGGUGCUUGCACCUUAUCUUAGCGGCGGACGGGUGAGUAAUGCUUAGGAAUCUGCCUAUUAGUGGGGGACAACAUUCCGAAAGGAAUGCUAAUACCGCAUACGUCCUACGGGAGAAAGCAGGGGAUCUUCGGACCUUGCGCUAAUAGAUGAGCCUAAGUCGGAUUAGCUAGUUGGUGGGGUAAAGGCCUACCAAGGCGACGAUCUGUAGCGGGUCUGAGAGGAUGAUCCGCCACACUGGGACUGAGACACGGCCCAGACUCCUACGGGAGGCAGCAGUGGGGAAUAUUGGACAAUGGGGGGAACCCUGAUCCAGCCAUGCCGCGUGUGUGAAGAAGGUCUUAUGGUUGUAAAGCACUUUAAGCGAGGAGGAGGCUACUGAGACUAAUACUCUUGGAUAGUGGACGUUACUCGCAGAAUAAGCACCGGCUAACUCUGUGCCAGCAGCCGCGGUAAUACAGAGGGUGCGAGCGUUAAUCGGAUUUACUGGGCGUAAAGCGUGCGUAGGCGGCUUUUUAAGUCGGAUGUGAAAUCCCCGAGCUUAACUUGGGAAUUGCAUUCGAUACUGGGAAGCUAGAGUAUGGGAGAGGAUGGUAGAAUUCCAGGUGUAGCGGUGAAAUGCGUAGAGAUCUGGAGGAAUACCGAUGGCGAAGGCA